rnacentral:lncRNA from 10 species
AGUCUAUCUCCCUGCGGUCAUUAUUCCUUUACAGCACUUGUCAUUUGCAGCUUCCUUUCUGUAUUCCCUAAACUUUCUGGUAUCUUUUCAGAAAAAUUCUUUUUAAUUUCUUGAAAUCUCACAGUCAGCACUUCAGUUCAUGUCUACAUUUUACCCUCGUUGCUCUCUAACAAAUGAAUCUUUUCAGGUUGACCUCUCCCUAAUCUCUGAAGCUUUGACGGGAUUUUCAGAAGUUCAGACUGAAGCAAUAAAGGCCGUCCCACUUUUCUUCACUUUGCUGUGCAGAUGGAGAAAGUCUACUAUGUUUGAUUAUGCCGCCUCUUAGAAUACUCAUGCCUCCUCCUACCUCUUCACAGCUGCCAUCAGCCCAGGAAAACCUUCAACUCAGUUAAGUACCAAGACACCUGCCCAAGAUGGAGAUGAGAAACAAAAAAAGGACAAAGAACCCCUAUUUAGACAAUCAGAGAGGAAUUGC